UUUAUUUUUAUUUUUUUAAUAUUCUAUAACUUAUGUUUAUGCAUAAUACAUGAAUGUUUAUUUAAACAUUUUGAAAUUUGGUGACAUCUAAAGCACUAAUUAACAUUAACAAAUUGAACUUUACUGUAAAGUGUUACCCAUGGUUUAAUUGUUCCUUUAUUUUAAUUUAUGUUUUUAAAGAAGACACUGGUGCCAAUGAAAGAAGCCACAAGUACAGCAGGUGACAAAAAGCCUUUUACAAAGCACUUUUCUCGUUUUCCCGAAGAGUUUUGUUGCCAGUCCUAUUUAACCGAUUACAAUGCCCUGAACACCUGCAAAAUUUUUUAUCAAAAAGUUUUAUUUGCUGUUUCAGCUCCAGUUGUUUUGCUGACUUUAUGAAAGAUGCAUAUAUUUGCAUAAGUUGUGUCGCAGGUUUGCUUUCUGCUCUUCAGAAAUGAUUUACCAAAACGUUCUUCUCACGUGGCAGUGACGAUAUAACAGGACACUGGUCCUGUUUGGCAGCAUGUGUACAGUGUUCUUCACUCUGACUCUGCUGUUUGCUCUAAUAGUUUGUCUCAUAGGCUUGUAUUACCAUUCAUCAGUGUAUUCCUCACAUAUAUGGUUGCCAAAUAAAAUCACACCAGUUCUGUA